AGUGAACGCUGGCGGCAGGCCUAACACAUGCAAGUCGAGCGGCAGCGGGUCCUUCGGGAUGCCGGCGAGCGGCGGACGGGUGAGGAAUGCGUCGGAAUCUGCCUUUUUGUGGGGGAUAACGUAGGGAAACUUACGCUAAUACCGCAUACGACCUACGGGUGAAAGUGGGGGACCGCAAGGCCUCACGCAGAAAGAUGAGCCGACGUCGGAUUAGCUAGUUGGCGGGGUAAAGGCCUACCAAGGCGACGAUCCGUAGCUGGUCUGAGAGGAUGAUCAGCCACACUGGAACUGAGACACGGUCCAGACUCCUACGGGAGGCAGCAGUGGGGAAUAUUGGACAAUGGGCGCAAGCCUGAUCCAGCCAUGCCGCGUGUGUGAAGGAGGCCUUCGGGUUGUAAAGCACUUUUGUCCGGAAAGAAAUCCUGUCGGCUAAUACCCGGCGGGGAUGACGGUACCGGAAGAAUAAGCACCGGCUAACUUCGUG
rnacentral:rRNA from 1 species